AGUUACUUUGGCAGAUUAGUGCAAUUGAUUUAGAAUCAUUUUAUGUAAAUUUUUUACAGGUAAUAA
rnacentral:tRNA from 1 species